GUCAUAGCUCAGUAGUAGAGCACAAGCUUUGCAUGCAGAAGGUUCCAGGUUCAAUCCCCGGUAUCUCCA